rnacentral:misc_RNA from 1 species
UGGCUCUCGCAUCGAUGAAGAACGCAGCGAAAUGCGAUAAGUAAUGUGAAUUGCAGAAUUCAGUGAAUCAUCGAAUCUUUGAACGCAACUUGCACCCCUUGGCAUUCCGAGGGGUACGCCUGUUUGAGUGUCGUGAAUUCCUCCACUACUUCACCUUUGCGGGUGCUCGUAGAUGGGACUUGGGGGCUUUGCGGGUCCGAAAGGAUCCGCUCCCCUUGAAUGCAUUAGCGAGGUCUCUGACCGCGGCCUUGGUGUGAUAGUUAUCUACGCCGAAGGGUUCCGCUCUCUUUUGUAGACCCCGCUUCCAACCGCCCUCGGGCAAACCUUCACCUUUGAAAUUGACCUCAAAUCAGGCGGGACUACCCGCUGA